AAUUGUUGAGACUCCUGUGGUUUGUCCAUCAUCCAAGAAGUCUUUCCAAGGCACCUGAAUUUCACUGAGUCUCUCACAGCUCGUUAUCCAAAAGUGAUGCUCGAGAGAGAGCUGGUGUGGCCACAGACUCUGAGGUGUGCAGAGGAAAUUUGUGUGCAGAAUGUAUGGAAGCAGAAGCAAAUCCAGAGUUAUGGAAACAGCCAUGACAAACAAAUGC